GGGAGGAAGCCAAGGAGAACUGGGAUCCCCGGCUACAGGAGCUUUCUCCAUCGUGCAUCAUGGAGUCCAACUCUGAUAUUUUGUCCAGGGAGCACUGGAAGAGGGGAGAAGGGUGGGAGGAGAGUGGUCUUUUUGAAAACUGCAUCGAUGCACUAAUGCACUGAAACCUGAGCUCUUAUUGGAUCUGAAGGGCAGCAUGAGACAGCCAUCCUCCAGCAUCUACCCCCGUUUAAAGGGAUUGCUUUCAUUCAGAGAAGGAGAGGCGAAAAAGCCUUCCAGCAGAGCCCAGUCCGGCUCAGCUCGUCUCCCCGUGUGCCCGUCUGCCUUGUCUCUGCUGAGGCCAGCUGACCGGUCCUCUCGGGCUGACCGGCCACAAGCCAGACCGGCGGCUCUUCUGCACCAGCGUUGGGUGGACCGUGAUACAGGCGGGAGCAGCCGACUGCCCAGUGGCCUCUGACAUUUGCUGUGGAGAAGAGGGGAUGCACUCAGUCCUCUUGUUCUGCUGCUGCGAUCGAGCUUCAGGGUCCUGACCUGCCUGUGAAAGGAAACAGUCGAGACUGAGUGUCACAAAAAAAGCCAGCCAAACAACAGAGCCACCUUUCACUCUGAAGAAGACAGCACCCUCAGUGAGAUGAAGCAGACUGUGUCCGUAAACAAGAGCGGUCCCCGACGUGGAAUGGGAUACACCUUUGGGAAGUCAUUUGUCACCAAUUCCCAGUAAGUCAAAGAUGAGACCAACGCCUUUCCAUCAUCGCCACUUCAAGCUUCUACACUACGCCUUAAAGUCAUGUGAUUUAAACCUAAACACUGAACGAAAUAAUUCACUCGGAGGAAACAGUGAUAAUAUCACUAACUAAUUUAGUACAUCAUUUGACCCACUGUCGUCUGUUUAACAAAUCUUAAAGAUGAAUACAUUGCACACUUCCUUGAACUGUUUGAAGUUCAGAAGAAGGAUUUUCGUUGUGUCUGGAAAACAUGAACAAACAGUUUUGAGAAAUGUCUUCUUUAAAAGGCAAAUCCAAAUGUCAGAGAGACAGAUACACAGAGAGCGCUGCCUUCUGGGCGUCGAGCAGAAAAAACUUCAGAAUAAUAUUUUUUCCCAGUUGGAGCGAACUGCAAUUACCCAUCAUCAAACAUACAAAGCAGAGUGUUUGCACUCUCAUAGCCUGGAGAGGAACAUGGUCACUGGUUGCAAAAUCACACAAAGGAGACUCAGGAAAAGCAAUGUAGGAGUGUUAUUGAGAUCAGAUUUACCUAAUUUAUGUUGUUGUGAUUAGUUGGAGAAUAAAAUCCACUACAGCUUAUUUAUAAACUACUGUGUAUAAAGGAGUAGUUCCAAAUUCUGAGGUUUAAUUUUCUCUAAGAAGCUGGGAAUUCUCCAGAGCUGCACCCUGCUUGACUGUUUUGACAGAUUUUUUUUUAUUAUUAUUAUUUUUUUAUAUGAAAAACGGGUUCACAAAUCCAAUAUUUUUUAAGACCAUAUAACUUUGAAGUGUUUUAAUUCAUUGGACUUUUGUGUAUGCAACUAACAAACAAUUUGAAAAACUCACUUCAUAACACCACCUUUAAUUUAACCCUUGAUUGUAAGCAUGUUAAACUCAACAGCAGUGAGCCUUAAGUCCACGCUGCGUACCUACUUAUUUGUUUUUGACAUUUUUCUUUUACUGUCUUAUGUUGCCACAUAUAGGAGGCCUGGUUAAUUACUGACUGUGUUCUUGAUAAACAUUUUUGAAAGGACAAAUAAAUUAAUUAUUUUUAGAAAAACUCUCCAGAAAGAAGUUUGUGUGCCUAGACAUUGAUGCUUCAGUGUUAAGCUGUGAAACAAGUCUGAAUGUUUGUACCCGUUUUUAAAAUGUAAAUUGUAAUGUCUGAGUAUUGGUAAAUGAGACAUCAGAAUAGCUAUCACUGCUGGUGUGACAAUGUUUCAGUUGGUUUAUUUAUUGGUUUUUAAUCUUUCUGUAUUACCUGUAUAUGAGAGAGAGCCACAUAUUUUUCUUAAUUUUUUUAAAGUACUGGUCCGCAAGGAAAACUGCAAGCUAAAUAGUCAAAUUUAAAAAGUUCUAAUGUUCACAGCUCCUUAUAUAGCUAAGUCUGUGCACUAAUAUGGAAUAACAGAUUAGUUCAAUAUUGAACCAGUGAUAAUGUUGUUUUUUUUUCCUAACUUGUGAAACAGCGAUUUCAUGUGGAUUUACAUCACGGCUGUCUGUCUGUAGUUUCAUAAAGUACUUGUCAUGACUCUUGAUGUUCGUCCUCCAUAAAAGUAAUGCAGCUUAGUAAAUAUGAUGCAUCUUUGAAUAAUUCGCCAUUUAAGGGACUUUGCACUGUACAUGCUUAUUUAUUUUGUUAGCUGGAAGUAAACAAGUUAAUCUGCUUAAAAUUUGUUAGAUCACUUUGUGAAUAAAUGAUGAAAAUCCUGUAUAUUUAUCCUGAAUCA